GGCCUAACACAUGCAAGUCGAGGGGUAUAUUUCUUCGGAGAUAGAGACCGGCGCACGGGUGCGUAACGCGUAUGCAAUCUGCCUUUCACAGAGGGAUAGCCCAGAGAAAUUUGGAUUAAUACCUCAUAGUAUUACAGGAUGGCAUCGUCCAGUAAUUAAAGUCACAACGGUGAAAGAUGAGCAUGCGUCCCAUUAGCUAGUUGGUAAGGUAACGGCUUACCAAGGCUACGAUGGGUAGGGGUCCUGAGAGGGAGAUCCCCCACACUGGUACUGAGACACGGACCAGACUCCUACGGGAGGCAGCAGUGAGGAAUAUUGGUCAAUGGGCGCAAGCCUGAACCAGCCAUGCCGCGUGCAGGAUGACGGUCCUAUGGAUUGUAAACUGCUUUUGUACGAGAAGAAACACUGAUUCGUGAAUCAGCUUGACGGUAUCGUAAGAAUAAGGAUCGG
rnacentral:rRNA from 1 species